AAGAUAAAUUAUUUAAGCUUCUAACUUAAAAAAAGUCAUCAACAAGACUAUAUCUUU
rnacentral:tRNA from 1 species